CAACUGAUAGUAUUACAAUAUGGUGGAAUAUCAAUGAAGAUGUUACAUUACACUAUCCUCCAGUACAUUACAUUGUUAGUGUACACAAUAUUACUAUUAAUACAACUGAUACUAAUGUAACUAUUAAUGGACUAUAUCCCAAUAAUGAAUAUACUGUAUACAUAAAACCAGUUAAUGCUAUUGGAGAGGGACCACUGAUUAACAUUACAGUAGUUACAGUUCAUAUCACUGAGCAACAGUCAAUUUCAACAACAACAACAACCACUUUCACUGGUAAUGAUAUGAUGCAUGUAUAUUAUAUUUGUUAUAGUUUCAGCUACAGAAAGUUCAUCUGAUGCUACCACCAGUAGCAGCGAUGACUCAAUAUCAAUAUCUAUGAUGAUCAUUGAUGAUAAAUUAUUGUCUUCAAGUAGCAUAGA